CUCCUCCCCGUCCCCCUCCCCCGUCCCAUUCGAAUAUGGAAGAACUUCAAGUGUCCCUUGAAACAGAUAACAGAGCCCUGUCUGGGAAUCAAGCCACAUCUUCCCUUUCAAGACCUGGAAGCCACCGUGGCCUGACAAGCAGUAAGAGACGCGAUAAUAAAGAGGACGAGCCACUCCAGGGCUGGAUUUCAUUUCCAGCUUAAUUAAAUCCAAGAAACACACCUGACCUCCAGCUUUGAAGAGCUGCCUCAAAAGCCAGGUGCCCUCGUCAGCUUGGGCUCACCCCGCCGAGAUUGUGGGAAAGGGGCCCAGAAGAGGGUGGAGGGAGGCGGAAGCCAACUGAGAUGAAACUGGAGGCAGGAAGCAAUAUCGCAGAGAAAGCUGUUUUAUCCGGUGGGUGAGAUCCGCUUGCCCUUCUGCUUAAAAGGUGAACAGGAGGUUCACCUGCAAAGGCGCUGAACUGAAAUUCCUCCCACGGCCCCUACGCCCCCGCCACCUAUCCCUCUCCUGCAAGCUGCUGCCCAUCCCUGCCCACACUGCUGUGGGAAAUUGGGUACCAAAUGUACUUGGUUAGCACAAGUCUCCACGGGGCCAUCAGUGCGCAUGGCUGGAGGGGUUUCCUGCAUUACACACUUGAUAUUGUUUCUGCUCCCUCAGCAAGGAUGUUGUGAUUCCGUACUGAUACCUGGGGUCCCUUUGUUCUCAGCUGUAGAAGCCAGUGAUUCCAUAAAGAGGUAAGAUCCUGGUCCUUUCUCAGGAAUUCCAAAGGAACGGCCUCCUCUGGUCUUUGCUUUCAUACCCACUUAGAACACAUUCCAGGGUUUGACAGGAGAGCAAAAUAGCAGAGAGAACCCUUGGGUCUGAGAAGCUGGCAGGGAAGAACAGAAGAGUCACCCCUCUUGAUGGCGGAUAACUAUUGAUGAACUUGAGCGGCUAUUGAAGCAUUGAUAACGGCUCACGGCAAAGUCAUAUGAUAUCCAUCGCAGAAGUCAUAGGCAAGAGCACCAAUGACUGUCAGAGCAGGGAGGAAAAGGGGGGCGAUGGUGUAAAGAACAUGGUGCUCACUCACGGCUGCGCAUAGUGGGUUUACGUCAGGACCUAAACCCGUGGUCUAGUGCCUUCCCACUUUCAGGGUGGUUCUUCUUCCUCAGUCAAGAUUCUCUGAGAACUCCUGCAAAGACGUGCCCAACACUGUGCCUCCUACGUGGUUCUAAAGCUGAUCAGCUGACUGUGAAGAUGAACCAUCACCACCCACACUGAGUGGACUUCAAUGGCUGAGGCCCAACCCACGCUCUACGUGACCUUGAGACAUCAAAACCAAGACUGGGACUCCUUCCUUAUGCCAGAUAACCAAAGGAAAGAGAUCGUGAUAGAAGGGCCACCAUUCAUUGCUAUUUUCUGAACGCAGUCCACACUGCCCACCAUUCUAGCACGAUCUAAGUAAGCCAGUUGCAUGGAAAUAACUGCUGUAAGAAACAUCAUUCAUCUGAUUGACCGGCAUCAUUUAUAGUGGCACAGGAAGCACGGUUCUCACAAAGAAAAACCAGAGACAGAACAGAGGCUGUCAGCCAUCUGACAUUUGGAAAGUGCCCAUCAGCCGCUCUUCAGGACCAAAGAAGGUGUGGCAUCGCUCUGAUGAAGAGGAAAGACAGAAGAACAAAGACAAGAGCCCCGUAGGCGAGACUGAGGUACAGAUGACUGAUGGAGGGACCUUUUUACAGAAGUGAAUGCAUAUUCCCAGAGAAGGCCAUGGGCAUCUGUGCAGAGAGUGAACGGUAUCCUUGAACUAUUUUCAAGUUUAAUAGACACUCAUCGACAUAGCAGAAAAAAAAAAUCAAGCUUUUGGUUUUGAACUUCAAGGCUGUCAACUCGGCGGUAAUUGAAGUUAACAUGUGCUGAAGAAUAAUUGAUAAAUUCCAAAUAUUUGUUAUGCAAGAACCCAUCAGGGAUAUGAUUCAUGGGAGUAUUAAAAACAAGUUUGAAUGAUGGAAAAUUUGGUCUUCUACAUCAAAGAAAGAAAGAUUUUAGAGCAAUGUUUAAAAUAUUAGCUUGUGAUUGUGCUAAGGCAAGGAACAGACAGGGGAGUGCGGUCAUAGCACGAGCACUUCCUGUGAGUCUGGCUGGACCGUCCCGGUCAUUACCCUGUGGUAGUCACUUCCAUGUUUGCCUUGUUUCAUUCUAUUGGUAAUAUUUAAUGCAGUCAUAUAAAUAUCCAGGAACAGCUGAAGAGGAGAUAGCUUAAAUACCCCACACUAAGGACACACACAGGCAGCUUACAUUACAGUCUACUUCAAUCUUGCAACUUCUGGAGUUUUCUAGCUUCAUGAUGCAUCUGAAUGGGCGGGAUGGAGAAGAUCCACCCACUAAUGACCUAAUGUUGUCUACACAGAACAAUUGUCAAUUGUGACCUGUCAGUGACUGAUACAUCUGUUCACCUUGAGUGUCCUGAAUAGAAGAACUUUCUCCUUGAGUACUAUUUCUCCCUGCUAUAGGGAAGAAAGGAGAAAUCAACAAACCAACCAACCAGCUCACCAGUUAACCUGCCAAACUGGCAUCCAUUCAUCCAACCAACCAAAUAGCCAGUUAGGCAAGCAAGUGAGCAAGCAAGCAAGCAGUAGGCAAGCAAGCAAGCAGGCAAGCAAGCAAGCAAAUAUCCAUCCAUCCAUCCAUCCAUCCAUCCAUCCAUCCAUCCAUCCAUCCAUUCAUCCAUUUAUCCAUCCAUCCAUUUAUCCUUCUAUCCAUCCAACCAACCAAACCACCAGCUAUCUAGACAGACAGACAGCUAGCCAACCAGCCAAAUGACAAGCCAGCUAACCAAUCAAUCUACUGCCAACCAAAAUAAAAACCCCAAACCACCAGUUCAGGCACCAAGUAUAGGUACUUAUAGGCACCCUCACACACAUCUAAUUUAGCCCUGUUUGUAAAGUGGAUGAGACAAGUGUUCGCUAUACUUUACAAAUGCGAACAUAGUGAACACGGACCUUGAUUAAUGUCAUAGAGGCAGUAAGUGCCAACCCAGAGUCCAGGUCAUGAAAUUAUGGUUUUAAGGGUGUCUUUUUGUAAAUACUUGGUAUCACACAGCCUUGUGAUCAGAGACUACAAGGGAAAACAAAGAUUUAAUUCCUCUUGUGCUAAGGGAGCAGGAGGAUUAGACUUCUGAGUAAAACCAAUUUUCCAUAUGUCGAGAAACACAGAUUAUCCAAUACAAGGAGGCAUCAUGGGGUGGGAGAGGGAGGCAGUGGCCUGGAGCAGAGAUAUGAUGAAGGUGUGGGCUUGCUUCAGUGAGCCUCACUGAAUGGGGGCUGAGAAGAAGCUUCUGUCUACCUCUAUCCAUCACCUUCAUUUCUAGUCUUAUGUCAGGACUUCUGUCUUUUCCUGAGGAGGUAUUAUGUAUACCAGACUGGAACAACAAUAGCCUAGAACUUCUAGAGAUUUCUUUUGCCUCUACCUCCUAAGUUCAGGAAUCACAGAUAUGGCCUACCACGUCUGGCUUGUGCAGUACUGGGGAUUGAACCCAGGGCUUUGUGCACACUAAGUAAACAGUCUACCAAUGGAGUCACGUCUCGCUGUCGUUUUAUCUUUUAAAAUACAUCUUAAGUUUUU